rnacentral:rRNA from 1 species
CCCUUAGAUGUCCGGGGCUGCACGCGCGCUACACUGAAGGAAUCAGCGUGCUAAAACCAUUGUCGAAAGGCAUUGGUAAACCCAUUAAAAUCCUACGUGAUUGGGAUCGGGAAAUGCAAUUAUUUCCCUUGAACGAGGAAUUCCCAGUAAGUGUGGGUCAUAAGCUCGCGUUGAUUACGUCCCUGCCCUUUGUACACACCGCCCGUCGCUGCCCGGGACUGAGCCGUUUCGAGAAAAGCGGGGACUGCUGCUGUCGGGGCUUUCGGGCCUUGGCUUCGGUGGAAACCGCUUUAAUCGCAGUGGCUUGAACCGGGCAAAAGUCGUAACA